GGGUUUCUCUGUGUAGCUUUGUGCCUUUCCUGGAACUCACUUGGUAGCCCAGGCUGGCCUCGAACUCACAGAGAUCCGCCUGGCUCUGCCUCCCGAGUGCUGGGAUUAAAGGCGUGCGCCACCACCGCCCGGCUUUAAGACUACAUUUUAUACCCAUUCAAAAAGGCCAUUUCACUUGAGAUUUAUAUUAUCAAGAAGGGGGGAUUUGUAGAGGCCCAAAUUGCUCAGGGUCAGAGAAUCUCAGCUUGCUUUACCCAGCAGGGCUAUAUAAGGAGAUGAUUUGACCAUGGGUGUGGUUACCAGGUGUUUGGAAGUGUCCACACUUGGCAGUAUAGUGUGCUUUGAUGUAGCAAGGGAAAGUCUUUUGCCUUUCCUCUUCACAUGUUAUAUAAAUCCCUUUUGAAUAAACAUGUGGGAUGUUUGGUAUUGACCUAGGUCCUCCUGAAGAUAUCCUGUAUUUCUGUCUUUCCUCUUGUCAUCUAGGUCUAUCAUUCUACUUGAUGUUUUCUUAUCCUGUCUCAAGAGUAUUCUGGAAAAAGUGGGAGUAGGCCUCCCACACACUAUCUCCUUGGAUAAAGAUCUUCUGGAGGCUCCACUGCCCCCAACUUCACUCACAUUGGUUUGCCCUGAUUAAUGGUCUGAACUGUGUUAUAUACAGAAGAAGGCCAGAAUCAUCAGCCACAGCAAAGCCACAGGGAAGUCAGAAUGGAUAUGCUUCACCUACUGUGGGUCAGUAGCUUACCCACAAGUCACCAGAAGUAAAAGCUUGUUAAAGUCUUGGAGAAGAAAGAUGGAGAAAGCACAGGACUAUAAAUAUCUGAGUGAAAAUAUAAUUAUGAUGAUUUCAUACAGAAAAAGAUAAAUAAAUGUCUGAAAUAACUCAAGAAUGAUAAUGGAAACAUGACAACUUUUGCUAAAGAAAUAUAAAGAUCAUUAGUGACUAUAAUGAACAACCAGAGCUGACAAAUCAGAGAACCAAGGAUUGACAGAACACUGUUCCUGAAUGCAUGCAAGUGUCGAACCAAAAUGCACAGGGAAUCUGAUCUGGUAUGUUAUAUAUGAUAAAGAUGAAUAAGUCAUAAGAUUCUUCCAAUAAAAUAAGAGCUGGUUAUGGUAGCUUCACUACUGAACUUCAUCUUUUUUUAAUAAAGAAGACAGAUUUAUGUCAAAAUAUUUGUAUAAAUUAAAUGAAGUAAAUAUUUAAAUUAAUGUCAUUGGGUCAGUAUUACUCUGUUACCAAAACUAGACAAGGAUGUAAUGACAAUCAAGAAAACUAUAGACUGAUUCCUCUUAUGAACAUUCAUGCAAAUCAGUUCAACAUAAAUUUCAAAAAUCAAGUCCAAUCAGCACAUGAAACAAUACUAUGAUCAAGUGAAAUUUCUCUCAGUGAUGCAAAUUUGCUCAACAUAUGCAAAUAAAUAAAUGAAAUAUGCCACAUCUUCAGAAAGAAGGGCAAAUCCGCAUGUUGAUCUCAAUAGAUAUGCAUUCAAUAUGUUUCCACAUCUGUUUAUUAUAAAAAGCAAUUUUCACAAGUUAGAUUGGGAAGGAAGGCACCUCAAUGUAAUGCCUGCUGCAUAUGACCACCUCAUAGCGAAGGUCAUCUUAAGUGAAAUUGUUUUUCUAAGAGCUGGCACAAGACAUGAAUGCUUACUUUCAACAUUCUUUUCAUUAUAACACUGGAAUCUUAGCCAGUUCAAUUAGGCAGAUGAAAAAUAGAAAACAUGCACACAAGAAGUGGGGAGGUUAAAACGUCUCUGUUGAUAGGUGAAAUGAUUCAAUUUCUACAGAAACCUAAACAAUGCACAUGAAAACUUGAAGUAACUCUUUAAGCUGUAAGAAACCAAGUCAACAUGUAAGAACUAGAACCAUUUUAAUAAACCAGUAAGGAGUUUUCCAAAAAGAAUUCUUGAAUGAAAUCAAAUUCAGAAUAAUUACAAUAAUAUUUCUGGGAAUAAAUUUGGUUAAGUAACCAGAAGACCUCUAAUGAAAGUUACAAAACACAAAUUGAGAAAUGAAAUGAGAUAUUACCAUACCACAAACAACAAUAAGAACUUUGAUACUGUCAAAAUACCACACUGUGGAAUCCAACUCAACAAUCCAAAGAAACCUCAAUAAAAAAAACAUAUGGAGUAUUAUUCACACAAAUUGAAAAAAAUCCUAAAACUUCUAUGAAAGCAAAAUAAGCCCCAAUUAACAAAAGGAAUCUCAAACAAAGAUGACCAAAUCCUUGGAGACAUCACAAUACUUGCCAUAAAGAAAUACUACAGGGAUGUGUUAACCAAGAUAUCAUGGUACAUGGUACUAACCACUUGGGUAAUGAAUAAACUGAUUCAUUGAAAUAAUGACUCAAUGUAUUGAAUGGUGGAAAGAAUAGUGUUCUCAGAAAGCAAUUCACAAACCUAUAGUCAACAUUUUCUUCACUGAGGUAUCAAAACUAUGAACUGGAGAAAGUAAAUCCUACUCGGAAGAUGGUGCUUAGCAAAUUGACUAUAAAGGUAAAUAAAAACUUCAUCUACAUCUUACCAUAUAAACAAUCAACUCAGAAUGGGUCAAUGACUUAGUGUAUGCCCAAACCUCUGAACUAACAGAAAACAAAAGAACAAGGGAAACAUUACAAGGUGCCAUUGUUUCAGCCCCAAUCUCUUCACCGUACACAAUGUCUUCAGGAUAUAACAUUGCCAUUUUUCAGAGGAAUCCACUGCAGCUAAGGUGACUUGGACAAGACUAGUUUCUUCAACGUGUCAUCAAGAAUGUGGGAGGGGCCUGUGAAGCCCCAUUUCUCUCUGGGGUUAUUGAUAGUUCAUGGUCACUUGGGAAAAGGGGUUGUCAUUUUCUUCUGUGGUGUAGCAAAAGAAAAGUUAUCCAAGAUCUAGUAAUCCUACACACACCACCACCACCACCACCACCACCACCACCACAACACACACCCUCAUGCAAGCAACCCUAGUUAACUUCAGUGUAUUACACCUGCAAACAAGCAUAAAAGUAAGAGGACUUUGGGAAAAGAAUGGUGUUAGCAGGAGGGGAAAGGGAUGAGAGCAGGCAAAACCUACAUGAUUCUGUCAGGGUACAAAUAGAUAAAUACCAUUUAAAAAACAUCAAUUUGGCAAAUUAUAGUUUGAAUGAUAUUCACAAAGCAUGUGAAAUAAAAUAAAAAGCAGACAAUCAGGUUUGUAUCAAGUAAGAAGUUUUCUCACAAAAAAAAGGAUAUAAUCAAUAGACUGAAGAGAUAACCUGUAGAGUGAGAGGAUAUACGCUAAAUUGUUUCUCGGAAAAAAAAGAUUAAUGUCUAGAAUCCUUAAAUUUAACAACUGAAAUACGCCAAUUUGAAGUGAACACAGAUCAAAAUGAACUUUUAUCUAAAGAAGCAAUAUAAAUAUCCAAUAGGUAAAUGGAAAACAUUCAAUGUCAUUGAUCAUUAGAUGCACAAGUCAAAACUGUUAGGAGAUGUUAGCUCACUUCAUUAGAAUGUGUAUUAGCAGAAAAGAAUUAGAAGUUAUGACAAAGAUGUGGGAAAAAGGCAAUGCCCAUACAUUCUUGAUAGGUACAGAAAUUAGUGCAGCCAUUAGCGAGAGCAGUAUGGAGGUUAUUUAAAAAUUAAAAAUGCAUCUGGCAUAUGGUACAUUAUCUGCAUUCUUGAGUAGACUCCGACCAUGGAAAGAACAUAUUAAGGAAACAUCUACAUGCUGUGUUUAAGGUCUCACUACUCACAGUAGCUGAGGUAAGUGAAGCCUAGAUGCCCAUCAAAAGAUAAAUGUAGUGAUAUGUUAACAGACACACAGAGUGGGGAGGGAGAGAAGGGAAGAAAGCAGAAGGAGAGUAGGGAGAGAGAGAUAAAGAGAGAAAGAAGUAUAUUCAUCCAUACGGAAAAUGAAAUCCUGUCACUUGCUAAAGUAAAAAGGGGGAACUAGGGGCUCAUCAUUCCUCUCCAUAUUCUAUUCUUUCCCUUGUUUUAUAUAUUUAAAAUUUUUUAUCGGUAGAUUCUGCUAGAGUAUCAGCUGCAGAUAAGCACUGGAGGGCUCCUGUUGCAAAGAUGGAAGGUUCUUUCUACUGGCACUUGGAGGAGACCCGAUCUGGUGUUGGUGUGGGCCCAGGUUUCUGUUUAUGUCUUUCCUCAGGACAAUGAGGUUCCUCUUUGGAUUCCUGAGUGCUGUGUGCACCCUGUGGCUGCUGUUGAGACCUAUUGGGCCUUUGUGAAAAACUCUCCCCUUCUGAUGCCAAUGGGGAUUGAGAGCCCAAUAUGGCCAGCUUUGGCGAGAUUAACAUAAGCCUAGGAACUGAAGUCAUGUGGUUGGAUUCUCCAGAAGAGCUGCCAGCUUAAUUUAUGCUGGGAUCAAGAAAAAUGGGCCUUGGUGGUUCGUGUUCCUGGAGUUGUAUCCAUCCCAGUGGAUGCCCACACGCUCCAGAAGGGAAUUUGACAUUGCUGCUGCCGUUGUUGCUGUUAUAGCAGUGGUGGCCACCGCAGCUCCCUCCAACCCAGAGAAGACUAUAAAAUCAAGGAAGAAAUUGGUGUCAUAAAAGAAAUGUUAUCAAUAUAAUCUCUAUGAUAACAAUACCAAACUGACAGAAAAGACACUGCCUUUCAGAAUCUAACACCCUGACCAAUGCAUAUCAUGAUUGAAUCCCUCCCCCUCUCACUUCAGUAAAGAGAGAAGUGUUGAAGUAGGUGACUGUGGUGAUAACAAAAGGUAGAAAAAAAUGGUCCUGUUUCUCAGUGAAAUUUCCAGGUGUUUCUAUUCACAGAAAUGAACUUUCAAAAGAUAGGGCCAGUCUGAAGCUCCUCUCAGCUCUCACUUUGCCCCCAUUUGAUUUCUCAUAGAAUGCCAUGUUGUCACAGAGGCUUUGUGUACAAAAAAACAGUGUUCCCUUCAUCUCUAGAUUGUCUGUUGCAGAAUAUCAUUUUAAGAUGUGUUACAUUUGUUUAUGCUGUGGAAUAUUUGUUUAAUGAUGCAAAGCUGUGUUGCAUUUCUUUAAGUUGCAUUUGUUUCACUCUGUGAAGCUGUGUUACUGUGCCUGUCUAAAAUACCUGAUGGUCUAAUAAAGAGCUGAAUGGCCAAUAGCAAGGCUGGAUAAAUGAAAGGUGGGGCUGGUAGGCAGAAUAAGUAGAUAGAGAAAUCUGGGAGGAAAAGAAGAAAGAGCAAGAGAACAAGGAGAGGAGGAGACCAGGGACCAGACACCUAGCCACACAGCCAAUCAUGGGGUAAAAGUGAAAGUAAGAUAUACAGAAGUAAGAAAAGGAAAAAGCCCAGAUGCAAAAGGUAGAUGGGAUAAAUUAAGAAAAGCUGACUAGUAACAAGCCAAGCUAAUGUCAGGCAUUUAUAAUUAAGAAGAAGCCUCUGGGUGUGAUUUAUCUACGAUCUGGGUGGCAGGCCCCCCAAAAGAGUAGAAAACAACCACCCACUUUUUGACAUUCCAAUGUGGGGCUAGAGUAAAAGAAAAUCUAACAACAGUCUAUCUCAUUACUGUGCCUAAAAUUUCUUCUCAGUAUUCAGACGACACCUGACAUAUGGAGGGGCUAAGUUGCCAAAGCCACAAAGGGAGGCUUGACUGUGUCCCUUUCCACCCUUUCUGCAAAUGACAUGAGAUUUCUUCAGGAUAUCUGGGCCUAAAAUCUCUUUCCACUCUUUUCCUAUGACUUCAUAUUAUUUAAUUUCCUAGGUUACUACAUACAUCCUUAUCUUGUAAAUACACUACUUUUCAAACUUAUGCUCUAGCUAGCUGUGUGCACAUAGCACUACUGCUAGAAUUAAAGCCCUAUGAUGGAAAAGGCUCUAUCUUUUUUCUCUUUAAACCUUCAAAAUUAAUUGGUAAUGAGUAGCCUGGACAUGAUGUUCCUCAAAUCGCCAAAUACUGCUUUUUAUUCAAAUGUCACACAGUAAUAAAACAUGACAUUUUUUUACAAAAUUUAAACAUCAUAAUAAAACAACUUUAAAAAAUGAAAUAUUCUCCAAUAAUUUCAUUAAUUUUCCAAAAAUAUCACUAGAAUUCUGAUGAUAGAAUUUAUUAUUGUAAGCCAAAGAUUUAUUAGGGUUGGCAAUCCUAUGCCUGAAAGUAUUUGAGAUUAUAGUGGGCCUCCGGCUCUCACCUGAAACUGUGUAAUCAGCAGUCUCUGCCACUUUCUAUGGGAUGCACCCAUUAUUGUGUGUCUGAGUAAUGAUUAAUUUGUGAUGGAGUCAUACUUUCCUGUUUGAUUUUUUUCUGUAUAUUUGCAGGACUUGUUUUAUUUCUCUUUUUUUUCCCUUUGGUCACAGUCUUAUCAGCUAGUCUCAAUAUAGGUCAUUCAUGGAGGCAGUGAGAUAGAAGGAGACAAUACUGAGAAGACACUACUUUCCCAUUUUAUUGUAUAGAUAAAGAUGCUUUGGGACAGAAGAUUUGUUUUUUACUAAUUAUGAAGUCUUGGAAUGAAGAAAACUGUACCCUUCUUGUUUAUCCUAGGUUAAUGAAAGUUGAGCUAAUUAAAUAACCAACUCUUAUAUUUUAAAUUUAAAUUAAAUUUACUUGGUUAUAAACACUACACAUACUGAAUGCCAUGUGACCAUGUGAGGUUUCGAUAUAGGUUAAAAUCAGGUUAAACAUUUCUAUCACUACAUUUUAUUUAACAUUUCUGUAUGAUAGAACAUAUAAAUGAUUUUUCUGGCUAUUGUAAACACUGUAUAAUUGUUUUCUAUUGUUAUUGUAUUUUUCACCUGUGUACUAGACUUCUCUAAUCUAGCUAUCAUCAAGAAUCAUUGAUCAUCGUUUUCUUGUCCAACACUCCCUCCAUUCUUUGCCCAGUCUUUGUUCACCACUAUUCUAGUUUCAAGCUUUAUGACAUAAUUUUUAACAUUCUGAAUAUACAUGUACAAUGCAGUA